AUUGAACGCUGGCGGCAGGCCUAACACAUGCAAGUCGAGCGAGCGGCGGACGGGUGAGUAAUGUAUGGGGACUGCCCGAUAGAGGGGGAUAACUACUGGAAACGGUAGCUAAUACCGCAUACUAUCGGAUAACCCAUAUGGGAUUAGCUUGUAGGUGAGGUAACGGCUCACCUAGGCGACGAUCCCUAGCUGGUCUGAGAGGAUGAUCAGCCAAACUGGAACUGAGACACGGCCCAGACUCCUACGGCGGCAGCAGUGGGGAAUAUUGCACAAUGGGCGCAAUCCUGAUCCAGCCAUCCCGCGUGUAUGAUGAAGGCCUUCGGGUUGUAAAGUACUUUUGGCAGGGAGGCGUUAACGGCAGAAUAAGCACCGGCUAACUACGUGCCAGCAGCCGCGGUAAUUC
rnacentral:rRNA from 1 species